UGGGGAAUCUUGCGCAAUGGCGAAAGCCUGACGCAGCCAUGCCGCGUGAAUGAUGAAGGUCUUAGGAUUGUAAAAUUCUUUCACCGGGGACGAUAAUGACGGUACCCGGAGAAGAAGCCCCGGCUAACUUCGUGCCAGCAGCCGCGGUAAUACGAAGGGGGCUAGCGUUGCUCGGAAUUACUGGGCGUAAAGGGCGCGUAGGCGGACAGUUAAGUCGGGGGUGAAAGCCCGGGGCUCAACCUCGGAAUUGCCUUCGAUACUGGCUGUCUUGAGUACGGGAGAGGUGUGUGGAACUCCGAGUGUAGAGGUGAAAUUCGUAGAUAUUCGGAAGAACACCAGUGGCGAAGGCGACACACUGGCCCGUUACUGACGCUGAGGCGCGAAAGCGUGGGGAGCAAACAG
rnacentral:rRNA from 1 species